rnacentral:lncRNA from 1 species
CUCGGAGGGGCGACCUCCACUCCUCCCCAUGCAGACUGUGGCCUCUGCAUGGUUCUUCAGGUCCCCCAGGAGUUAGCUGAACCCAGCAGGAACUUCUGCAUUUGUCCUUGGCGGGGGUGGGGUGUGAGAGAAUGUUGGAGACCAGAAGGUUCUGAGUCGGUUGGAGCUGGACAGUUGGAGCUGAGCGGCGGCGGAGUGGCAGCUGGAGAGCUGAGUUGGCCCGGAGCCCUGGCAAGCCCAGACUGGGUCUGAGGCAAGUACCGUGGCAGCAGCCAGACCUCUGAAGGAGCAAAACAGGGGCCAGAGAGUGGGAACAACUGAGGAGAAAAACAGCUUCUGAGAAAACAGCUUCUCAAAUGGAAAAUACAUUCAGGGAACAGGAGGCUGCCGACGAAAUGGGAAGCCACCUGAAUGGAAAGGAAGUGAAACCAAGAGAGAAAUGAGACAUUCACCCCAAGCUAAGGCAGUCUUUGCUUUUUUUCCCUUUUGAGGUAGCAGUAGGGAUUCUGAGGUGAAUCUGUUAUCCGAACUCAGUGAAAGUUCUACUUUGAUCCUGAGCCACAUGGUAGUGGUGUAAAUAGGGAAUUCUGGGAACACACCGAGAAGAUACAAAUUCUAAAAGCUGACAAUCCUGGGGAAAUUGAAAGGUUGAAGUAAUAAAAAGGAAAACAUUUGGAGUCCCAUCAACUGUUAACAAACAACCCCUUGAGGCACGCUGAAAGACCUAAAAGCAUGUACUCUGCGUGUUACUCACAAAACGGUGACAAAUACAUGGUCUGUGCGUUAUACACAAUAGGAAGUUGCCAAACCAGAUGUAACCCCCAGAGGCUGAGUAGUUUGGGCUACCCUCCACCUUUCCUUUAAAGAUCGAAUUUGUCAUCGACCCCUGAGGAUCAAGGAGGGCUGAAGAUGAAGGCUAGCUACUCUAACCCAACAUGGCCCUUGAAAUUGAGAUCAAAUUUCAAAGCUCUGUAAACUUGCCCAGCUUCACAGACUUGAAAUCACUCCACGGGAUGACUUGUUUAUAGCCCCCAUGAUGAAAUUUUCAAGGACUGUCCCCUGCCAGAAGGAAUUAGCAGUUUAUCUAUGUGACACUGCUUAGGCUGUAUUUUCAUUAAAGCCACCAAUUUUAUUAACUCCCAAU